GAGAGAACAAGGGGCUCAAGAGAGAGACCGGAGAGAGAGCUCGAGAGGGUAGAGGACGAGCUAAAGGGAGAGAGCAAGACUGAAGGACAGCUUCGCCGUCACCGGUCGUCUGCCCGAGAGUCGUCGUCCACCGCGGCGCUCCCCUUUGAACCAGGUGGGUCAUUCCCGAGUACGUCUGCCCUGUUUUGGUGGGGCGUCAGGCUGAAGCUUGUGGUCGACCAGUUCGCACGAGCUUCAGUCCCGAUCCCCGCCCGAAACUCCGUUGUGCUCGUGUUCAUUCCUCCCACAGCAUACGUGUGCUUUUUGUAGUGCUUAAUGCAAAUAUCUGUUUGUGUUUGGUGUUAUGGCCGAGACUUGUCAUUUUGGUUUAAACUCAAGGUAUAUGCUGAUAAACUUGUUCCCGAGUCGAUCCAGAAUAGCGUUUCUGAAUCAUGUGAUGAUCUUGGCCUGAACCCGAGCCCCGAUCGAAUCUAUGUUUACCCCCCUAGUUACUGCGUCUUAGGUGUUUGACAAAAUGCCUGAUUAAAUGGCCG
rnacentral:lncRNA from 1 species